rnacentral:rRNA from 1 species
GACGAACGCUGGCGGCGUGCUUAACACAUGCAAGUCGAACGGACAGGCCUCUUUCUUGCUGUACUCGCGUGGCGAACGGGUGAGUAACACGUGCGUAACCUACCCUUGUCUUUGGCAUAACUUCCUUCAACUAGGCCUAAUACCGGCCAGGUGCUCCUUUUGCCUGGAUGGUGCUGUAGAGUUUCGCCGUUUGGGUGUGGACUCUCGGCGUAUCAGCUUGUUGGUGGGGUAGUGGCUUACCAACGCAUUGACGGGUAGCCGGCCUGAGAGGGUGACCGGCCACAUUGGGAAUGAGAGAAGGCCCAGACUCCUACGGGAGGCAGCAGGGGGGAAGAUUGAACAAUGGGUGGAAGCCUGAUGCAGCAAAGCCGUGGGCGGGAUGACGGCCUUCGGGUUGUAAACCGCUUUCGCUCAUGACGAAGCUUUGUGUGACGGUAGUGGGUAAAGAAGCACCGGAUAACUACGUG